UUUCCGUAGGUGAACCUGCGGAAGGAUCAUUACCUAGAGCUUGUAGGCUUUGCCUGCUGUCUCUUACCCAUGUCUUUUGAGUACCUUUGUUUCCUCGGCGGGUCCGCCCGCCGACUGGACAUCACUUAAACCCUUUGCAAUUGAAAUCAGCGUCUGGAAAAACUUAAUAGUUACAACUUUCAACAACGGAUCUCUUGGUUCUGGCAUCGAUGAAGAACGCAGC
rnacentral:misc_RNA from 1 species